ACUCCUGCGGGAGGCAGCAGUGGGGAAUAUUGCACAAUGGGCGCAAGCCUGAUGCAGCCAUGCCGCGUGUAUGAAGAAGGCCUUCGGGUUGUAAAGUACUUUCAGCGGGGAGGAAGGCGAUAAGGUUAAUAACCUUGUCGAUUGACGUUACCCGCAGAAGAAGCACCGGCUAACUCCGUGCCAGCAGCCGCGGUAAUACGGAGGGUGCAAGCGUUAAUCGGAAUUACUGGGCGUAAAGCGCACGCAGGCGGUCCGUCAAGUCGGAUGUGAAAUCCCCGGGCUCAACCUGGGAACUGCAUUCGAAACUGGCAGGCUAGAGUCUUGUAGAGGGGGGUAGAAUUCCAGGUGUAGCGGUGAAAUGCGUAGAGAUCUGGAGGAAUACCGGUGGCGAAGGCGGCCCCCUGGACAAAGACUGACGCUCAGGUGCGAAAGCGUGGGGAGCAAACAGGAUUAGAAACCCCGGUAGUCCCA
rnacentral:rRNA from 1 species